rnacentral:misc_RNA from 1 species
UCUAAAGGAGAGAAGUUUGCAAACUGUUGUUCCCUUGGCUACGUUGCCAUCCGAUGGAUCACUUAUUGAAAUGACCAAUGGCGUUGAGGCGUCUCAUAAGAUGUCAGCAGGGAACUUGAAUGCGGUCGUGGAACGAGAUAUUGGUGACAUGAAUGAGCCUCCUCCUAUAGAACCAAGCGAUUCUAUGAAUUCGCCUCUUCCCAUCUCUGUUUCGAAACCAUUGAUGAGUUACGGGAUUGGCAGGAUGACAGAGCUUUUACAGGCGGUGCAGGAAAAUCUGAUGGAGAACCAGGCACUUCGUGGUGAAGAGCUUAUUAGGCCGAUCAAUCCAAAAACGGAUGGUUAAAGAGAGGAAACAAGUAUGUUAUCUGAUGUCUCGCAUCCCUUAGCUUGGGAAGACCUCGAUAACACACAUACGGAUGUGGUUCAAUUGCUUCUGAAGUUGUACCUUGUCUUUUCCAUGGAAUGACAGAUCCGGG